rnacentral:rRNA from 1 species
GACGAACGCUGGCGGCGUGCUUAACACAUGCAAGUCGAACGGAAAGGCCCUGCUUUUGUGGGGUGCUCGAGUGGCGAACGGGUGAGUAACACGUGAGUAACCUGCCCUUGACUGUGGGAUAACUUCAGGAAACUGGGGCGAAUACCGGAUAGGAGCUCCUGCUGCAUGGUGGGGGUUGGAAAGUUUCGGCGGUUGGGGAUGGACUCGCGGCUUAUCAGCUUGUUGGUGGGGUAGUGGCUUACCAAGGCUUUGACGGGUAGCCGGCCUGAGAGGGUGACCGGCCACAUUGGGACUGAGAUACGGACCAGACUCCUACGGGCGGCAGCAGUGGGGAAUAUUGCACAAUGGGCGGAAGCCUGAUGCAGCAACGCCGCGUGCGGGAUGCCGGCCUUCGGGUUGUAAACCGCUUUCGCCUGUGACGAAGCGUGAGUGACGGUAAUGGGUAAAGAAGCACCGGCUAACUACGUG